UGGAUAUCAUGAAAUCAUUAUUUAUAGAUACUUAUACACUUUAAACUGCAGCAUAUGUUAUACAAUGUAGUCUAGUAAGGUAGAUAUCAAUUUAUAUAAAUAAUUGGUAAUAAUUGGCCGAAUAAUAAGUCUACAAACGGCGCCUCAUAGUCGCGCUGGAUGAAAUUUGUGUUUUGUUACAGUGCAGGUCAUGAGGUAUAGCGGUGCAUGGCGCUAAAAAUCCUGGCUUAAAUGAGCUAUUCCAAGAGUCGUUAGAACUUAGAAGACCGUGUCACUCAAUCUACAACAAGCCAUUUAUCUGGGCAUCAUGAUUUUGAAGAGCUGCAUUGCUGCAAAUGCAACGUUGCCCCAAGGAGAGUAGCUGCAUCCACUUCAGGGACUGAAACUAGACAUUUAUGCUGCCCUUGCAUGGGUAUGUCACUUCACUAUUUGCAACAAGCCUUGUAAGGAAUCUGCACAUCUGAACGUGAAGUUGCCCAACUGAGGGAUACCAGUGUUCAUGUUCAGUGCUUGAGAAAUGGAACGAUUCAUAGCAGAAAAUUGACACCCAUCACAUCAUUUACAGAAAGAACUGUUUCACAAACUCUUUCAUUCUUCAAGAACAGUACAUCAUCAAAGUACAGCAGGUAUGGAUGCAGAGAACAUGAGCAAUGGCAGCAGGGCAGUGUAUUCAUCGUCGCUCUUCACAUCGUUUCCAGAAUGAGGAUUACAAGUAUUCAAGAGAUGCAGAGAACAUUGGCAAUGGCAGCAGGGCAGAGCAUCCAUCCUCACAUCGCUUCCAGAAUGAGGAUCACAAGUAUUCAAGGGACGUAGAGAACAUUGGCAAUGGCAGCAGGACAGAGCAUCCAUCGUCACUCCUCACAUCGCUUCCAGAAUGAGGAUCACAAGUAUUCAAGGGACGUAGAGAACAUUGGCAAUGGCAGCAGGACAGAGCAUCCAUCGUCACUCCUCACAUCGCUUCCAGAAUGAGGAUCACAAGUAUUCAAGGGACGUAGAGAACAUUGGCAAUGGCAGCAGGACAGUGCAUCCAUAGUCACUCAAGCAUUGUUUCCAGAAUGAGGAUCACAAGAGAGGUUUGGCUGUCUUGUUUGUGUCAUAGCCAUGAUUGAUGGUUGCGAAGUUGUGUCGAUGAGUCUGUUUCCAUAUUAUACAUGUAUGUGGAAACCUUUGCAUUGUUUUGUAGGGUGUGACUUAAGCCUAGUGUGACUGUUAGAUUUAAUUGAAAUUUUUGGGUUAUGUUUUCUGAUCUUUAUAGCGGUAAAAUGGUUACUAAUAUGUUUUGAUCCAUCAUUUAUAAUCUAAAACAUUGCUCAGAAAAAUGAAAUAUUUGAGCAUAUACUGUAGUUCCCCCCCCCAAAAAAAAAAACAACAACAACCCCACAACAACAAUGAAUUAGAAGACACCCCAUCUUGCUCUAGAGAGUGACUCUAUGCUCGAUAAUGAAAAAAGGAUAACUUUCGAUUCAAAUAUUAGCUUAAAUUACCUUAAAUUGUAAAAGAUUGUCUGCGUAUCUAAACAUAUUUUCUUCAAAUAUUCAGCCGCCAAAUAAUGGUGUAUAGUUGUAUGCUUCAAACAGCACAUUCAUAUUGUUGGUGAAAGUGUUUCUUCAAAAAAAAAAAAAUCAAAAUUUUACGGAAAAUUUGGUUAUAUCAAAUAGUUAAGAUUUUCUUUCUGUGAUUCUGGUUUGUGUGUUGAACGUCUUUGAUUGCAGUUUGUGUAUGACCAUGUGAUAGGAUCUGAUUACUAAACCAGCUAGCCUUAUUCAAAGCCUAGACCUAGUAAAAUAGGUCUAAAUGGACAAGCAAAUUUUUAAACCUAGUUGCAAAACCUAGUUGAAAAAAAAUUAGAUCUUCUGCAGACUUAUUAGGAUGUUUCAGUGCCAAAAACAGACCAUGCAAUGUGACAUUGCAAAAUAGUUAGCUCUAUAUUUCCAUGAUAUCUCUUUGGCUAUGUGAGCGAACUAGACCAUGUUGCUUGCAUUCUUUUUUUGUAUGUCUUCUGUCUCUAGGUUCAGCUGUGUGCAUUUGGGGAUGAUAUGCCCAGCUACGCUAAGUAGACAUUUUGAUGGAGACAAACUUGCUUGUACGCAAAUAUAUUUUUUCCAGGCAAGUUGGGCAAGUAAUUGAAAAUCUUUGAUGUAAUCGCAGUACCAUGUCAAGGAUCUGAUUUUAUAUUAUAUUUAACGGACUAUUUAUAGGACGGUAUGUUGUAGACUAAUCUCUUGGCCUCUGUUUUUGACAGCUCUAUAAAUGUCAUUCAGGAUUUUAUUAUGAGCCCUAGAUCACGGAUGACACUUGUCUUCAAUUGGGGGGGAGGGGGGAUCCUGUUUAAUCUAUCCUUCUAGAAACGACAUCUUCUUUCUACAUCCCUUAAAAAUAUUAAAUAUCUUUCUAAUGUUACUAAUACUACGCAGAUGAAAAGAGUUGGACUGACAUGUUUUUAAAAAAAAAGUCAUUCAUGUUCAUAUUACUAUCAAACAGAUCUCCAAUAUUAUGUGCAGAGUUUGCUGAUAUUACUUCUGAAUCACCUAUUUGAAUGGAAUGGACUUGUGAAUCAACCUUUUGAUAUAUUAAAUGAAGUAUUAGAAAUUCACUCUUAAAAUCAUUCAGCUUAAACUUAUUUAGGCACAUCCAUGACUUCAUAUUAGCUAUACAUCUUUCUAACUUCAGACGUUGAUUAUCAAUGCUGUCAGGGUCCAAAGGAUUGAAUGGUAUGCAUGGUUGCAUUAGGCAUCCGAUAGAAUUCUCUGUGGAUGCGUAUAUCAUGGCCUAGGAAUUUAGCUUUGACAUCCAACUCGUUCUUUUGCAAAUUCAUCACUUGGACCAUAGUUGCUAGCUGUUUUCUGAGUGCUGUUGAUCGAAGCAGAUCAGGUCUUUUUGCACCACUCUUGUUUGCAUGCUCCCUUCAUUAGGCAAUCAAAACCUCUGAAGUGAUUAGAUGAGCAGGGAACCGCAAUUCACAUCAUCCACUUCAAUACUCUCUCUUUCUGCAAUAAGCCUGUCUAUGACUUCUUUCAUAGUUUCUGUGAGUAAAAUAAUUGCGAAACUUCACCCUGAAGUCGUCUGUUAAAUGUUGUGAUCAUGGAGAGCAUUACUUGGAAAAGGUCUUUCCACAGAGAUUGCUUUUCUUUGUGGUCUUAAAUACACGUCUUGAAUAGGCGGUCAAAUGCUGCCACAAUAUCGUCCCCAGCUGGUACACUCGCUUCCUUUUCAUUUCCCUGCCUUUCUUGCAGCUCAUCAGCAACCACAGUGAAAAAUCCACUUUCUUCUACAGGUGCGCUCCCUGAUGUUUGCACUGUUUGGUCACUCCAUCUCUGAUUUGAUGACUGAUAAUUUCAAUUAAUUCAGCCUGUGUUGAUUUUGAUCUGUACGUUGCAUUUGUCUGACACUGAAAAAUGAUCUCUCAGAUUCUCAUCACCAGACUUAACUCUGAAAAAAGAAAUAUUAGGCAAAAUAGAGUGAGUGUAUUGCUACUGGUAAUUUUCCAAACAAAUAAAGAAACAAAGUUCACCUUCACCAAUAACGGUCAACUAGUAUGCAGAGAUAAUUAUGUUCUCACUAGACGUAUAUAUAUAUUCCUAAACUUUAGAAGUUCAGUGAAGUUUCCUUGGUUGUGUUUGUCUUCCAAGUAUCUGGUGUCAUCUCUAUGACCUGUCUUUCACAAAAAAGUUGAUUGUUCAGUAUGGAUUCCAAUGAUUUUGUGUUUUUCAUGAACUGCUCCUGCCCUCCCGCCCUAAUCAGAUUAUCCACUGGGACCUAUUAAUGAAGACCGUGUAUCUGGUUAAAGACAAACGACAGUAUAUACAUGAUAGAGCUGGAUUAUAACAAUCAAGCACUUGUAUCGCAAAAUUCCCAAUUGCGCUUAAAAACUGAACACCAUUCAAAUAAACCAUAUACUAUUUGUAUGAGAGACAAUGUGGAAUUUUCACAAUCAUGGCCUGUUCAUUGCUUAGUACUCAUUUCAGUUCAAGGGAUAUGGCACAGCACUUCUUGUGAGUUUUGUAACCCUGGCUCUUUUAGUGGGAUCACUCCUCACGUUGUUCAAGUGGUUUUUUCAAAGGUAAAGAUGGCACCUUUUCUUUUUUUGAAUGGUUUAUUAACCAAAACACCAUGUCUUUUAGGAUCUGUCACAAACAGCACACAAUCCAAGUGGUACGCACCAUCUUGGCUGGAAGAGUAAGCCAGGCCAGGAUACCUUGUUAACCUUUGAUGUUGGAAACUCCUGAAUAGAUCAACGCAUUGGCAUUUAGAUGUACGAAUGUGACCACAUAGAAGGGGGUAGGGAAAAAGAUAAUUCACGAAGAAGAACAUUUUGAAAAGAAGACAGGGAAAAGAUUGUUUGUAUUCACCUUUUCCUACUUUUCCCAUUCGUCUGUGUGUACGUUUUAACUGGGAAGUCAUAACGAGGCCCUGGAAUCACCACAUUCUUAUGUGCUUCAUACUUCUCUCCUCUGGAAAACUUCUUUCCUAUAUAAUUUGCCACAUCGAAUCCUGAAAGACAUUGGAAAUAAUUAAAAGAAAAAGAAACAUGUUUACUAUUGUUUUGUUAUUAACAAGACAAAUAAAAUGUGAUUAUCAGUCACCAAACUAGCAUUUCAAAAAUGAAGUCAUACCUACUUUCAACAGCCUCGACCUUGUCCCGGUGGUUCCUUAGGCUCAGAGUUUGGUUCCUCUUUUGCUAGUGUGUCUUCCGCAGGGUCUUCUGAUUGGCCAUGAAAGAAUGCAUCUGAAGAAGACUGUCUGCCCAUUCUAAAUCAAACAAUAGUAUUAUUGUAUUAACUAGGCCUAGUAUUACCUGAUAGUCCUGAUGUGCCUUUUGUGGAAAAGGCUAACAACAUAUCAAAAUGAAAGAAAGAUUUGUUUGACAAUUAUGAUUUAUCAAUUCUUUUUGUAUCAGAAUGCGCUCUUGACAAAUAUAUAUAUAUAGUUAGUAAUGAAACAGGGCCAUACCAGCGAGGGGGCCGGUAGCCACCAACCUCCUUGUUACUAAAUAAUUUUGCAUUAAAAGACUACAAAAGAACAAUGUUUUUACUAUUAGACACUGAUCUGUCUACCUUGCAUACUAUUCUAUAUAAAUAAGAAAGUUCUACUAUGUGUGGGUUUGGCCAGGAUGAAUACGAGCUGUAACAUGCUUCUUUCCGGACUCCAAAGAAGUCUCACACACAGGAAGCACAGUUUUGUAUUUGGCUACAAGAUCCUGUGGUCUGGAAGCACCACUACUGCCACAGUGACAGCAUACAUCGGGGAUGCCUACAGAUGAGGUGUAACAUGGCUGCUCGAUAGUAUUGCCGCAUAUUAAGCCAAUCUGAACAAACACCUGAAAGCAAACAUUAAACACAAUGACAAAAUUAAUUAAGUUCAACGCGGUCAUACUAAAUUGAUAUAAAAGUAGGGUGAUAUACAUUUUCAUUUCAUGUUUUACUCAAUUGUUAUUUUAUGUACAUACCUUUCCAAACAGACGGUGAUGCACAGGGAGAAGUGGAGAUCCAUAUGUAUAAUCAUUGCGAAGGAUGACUAAGUCAAUGUCCAGUAAGUCUGUCCCUGUCAGCUUCUUAGGGUUGUUGCUGUAUACAACUCUCGGUUUUUGGCAUUCCUGACACCUGAUAAUCCGUUUUGCUCGUUGAGCCAUCAAGAGGCUAGUCUUGCAUCCCUACAAAUGAAAUAUUGAAUAUAUACGUAUGAUAUCAAUUUAAUUUAGUUUUAUUACAAAUUAAAAAUGUGAACAAGUUCACCCGUCAAGAAGCAAGGACUGGGGGUCCUCUGCCCAAUUCUUCAGCAUGUUGGGUGCGCAGUCAUAUAGAUUAUUCAGCUGGAGUAUGUUCUCAUCUUUUCCCACAACCCUUCAUUUAGGAUCGGGCAACCAAGGACCCUAUAAGGCCUAGGCAAUCGAAGGUGACAGAUAUUCUCUUUAUUCCACGCAUUGACGAGUGCUCUCUGCAGAUCAUUAGUCAGCUUGCUGACUACGCAAAAGUAUUCUACGAUGGCCUCCCCAAUAUGGUAUAGGUUCCCUGCGGAAAAAAA